ensembl:lncRNA
UGGAAAAGCAAGAGAACCCUUCCUUCUAAGCCCUGCAGGACUACCUCUGCCAUGGCUGGCAGAGCCUAUACUUCUGCGGGCCAAGCUGCUUCAGCGUUGCACACCAUGGCCAUUCUUCAAGUGUUCCAGGCAAAGCUUCUCCAUUCCCUGGAUGAGUCUAGCUCUGACGCACCCGCCCAUUGCGACCUCCGCAGCACCACGGAUUUGGCUCUGCGUGCCACGAAAGCCACGGCCCAGGCCAUCGGACGUUCCAUGGCCAACCUGAUUGUGCUUGAGCGCCACCUCUGGCUCAACUUGACUGAGAUCAAAGAGAGCGACAGGGUAGCCUUUCUUGAUGCCCCAGUCUCUCCAUCCGGUCUCUUCGGGCCAGCUGUAGAGGGAUUCACCGAGUGUUUCACUGCAGCACAGAAGUUGUCCCAGGCCAUGCAACACUUCCUGCCCAAACACUCCAGCUCUGCCUCGAGUCGCCCCCGGACUGCGCCGACUCAGCAUCAGAGCAAGCCUGCCCCUUCUACCUCACAGGAGGCACCCCCUAAGGAGCAGCAUCAGCAAGCUCGCCCCGCUAAGCAUGCUAAACCACCGAGACGUCAGGGCCCCCGGCCAAGGAUUGUGCUGGACCCGACGCCCUCAAAUCUUCCUGAUCAUUGGGGAAGCGGACUGCCAUCCGACGCUAUCCAACCUCUUGUCACGCGGGCCAAGGCCUGGCAGGCCAUCCCCGGAGUGUCCAAGUGGGUUUUGGGGAUAAUAAAACACGCCUACUCACUGCAGUUCGCCCGAAGACCCCCGCGUUUCCAUGGGGUGAUUCCCACUUUGGUAGAAUCGGACGAUGCUCAGGUCCUCCGCACCGAGGUGAUGACUCUGCUAAGGAAGGGAGCCAUAGAAAUAGUUUCUCCCUCAGAAAGCGGAUCGGGGUUCUACAGCCAUUAUUUCCUGGUCCCCAAGAAAGAUGGCGGUCUCAGACCCAUCUUAGACCUCAGGCUCCUGAACCUCUCCCUCAUGAGACGGAAGUUCAGGAUGUUGACAUUGAAACAGAUCCUCAUGCAGGUUUGCCCGAGGACUGGUUCUUCUCACUGGAUCUGAAAGAUGCUUACUUUCACAUCCAGAUAGCCCCCCAUCACAGACGAUUCUUGAGAUUCGCGUUCGAGGGAGUGGCUUACCAAUAUACAGUCCUUCCCUUUGGGCUGUCUCUAGCUCCCUGCACUUUUACAAAGAGCAUGAACGAGGCACUUUCCCCUGUGAGACAGAUGGGAAUCCGUGUUCUGAACUAUCUUGACGACUGGCUCAUUCUAGCCCAGUCGCGAACCGAGCUAGACCAUCACAGAUCUGUGCUCCUGAGCCACUUAGAGGGCCUAGGACUCAGGGUCAAUUUUGCCUGUCUGGCAGCCCUGGAACCUUGGAUUGAACCUUGGAAUGGGC